rnacentral:lncRNA from 1 species
CGUAUGUGGACGAUAGUUCCAUAUAUCAUUCUCGUACAUAGAGCUUCCGCGGUUGUCUGCAUCUAUAAAGGCGCUCUCCUUUUCUUAGUUUCUGAAUGAAAAAAAUAUCGAGAGUCUUUCUAUCUUUAAAAAAUUUUCUCCUAUCUUCAAAAAUUCUCUCUCUUCGUGCUCUCUUUCUUUCGUUUAUUUUGUUGAUUGGGUCGAGGACGAAGUUGAUCGGCAUCCAUUCGAGAUCGUGCUACCGACGGAUGUUGGAGUGCUUGGCUUCCAGAUUAUACUUUGGAAGAGGGUGUGCGGCUCAGAUCUUCGUACGAAAAGGGGUCGGAAUCUCCUUUAGGGCAA